rnacentral:rRNA from 1 species
GAUGAACGCUGGCGGCGUGCCUAAUACAUGCAAGUCGAGCGAACAGACGAGGAGCUUGCUCCUCUGACGUUAGCGGCGGACGGGUGAGUAACACGUGGAUAACCUACCUAUAAGACUGGGAUAACUUCGGGAAACCGGAGCUAAUACCGGAUAACAUGUUGAACCGCAUGGUUCAACAGUGAAAGACGGUCUUGCUGUCACUUAUAGAUGGAUCCGCGCCGCAUUAGCUAGUUGGUAAGGUAACGGCUUACCAAGGCAACGAUGCGUAGCCGACCUGAGAGGGUGAUCGGCCACACUGGAACUGAGACACGGUCCAGACUCCUACGGGAGGCAGCAGUAGGGAAUCUUCCGCAAUGGGCGAAAGCCUGACGGAGCAACGCCGCGUGAGUGAAGAAGGUCUUCGGAUCGUAAAACUCUGUUAUUAGGAAAGAACAAAUGUGUAAGUAACUAUGCACGUCUUGACGGUACCUAAUCAGAAAGCCACGGCUAACUACGUG